CCUACGGGGGGCAGCAGUGAGGAAUAUUGGUCAAUGGACGAGAGUCUGAACCAGCCAAGUAGCGUGAAGGAUGACUGCCCUAUGGGUUGUAAACUUCUUUUAUAAAGGAAUAAAACGAGGCACGUGUGCCUUUUUGCAUGUACUUUAUGAAUAAGGAUCGGCUAACUCCGUGCCAGCAGCCGCGGUAAUACGGAGGAUCCGAGCGUUAUCCGGCUUUAUUGGGUUUAAAGGGAGCGUAGAUGGGUUGUUAAGUCAGUUGUGAAAGUUUGCGGCUCAACCGUAAAAUUGCAAUUGAUACUGGCAGUCGUGAGUACAGUUGAGGUAGGCGGAAUUCGUGGUGUAGCGGUGAAAUGCUUAGAUAUCACGAAGAACCCCGAUUGCGAAGGCAGCUUACUAAACUGUGACUGACAUUGAUGCUCGAAAGUGUGGGUAUCAAACAGGAUUAGAUACCCCAGUAGUC
rnacentral:rRNA from 1 species